rnacentral:rRNA from 1 species
CAGCCGCCGCGGGAAUACGUAGGGUGCGAGCGUUAAUCGGAUUUACUGGGCGUAAAGCGUGCGCAGGCGGCCCGUUAAGACAGGUGUGAAAUCCCUGGGCUCAACCUAGGAAUUGUGCUUGUGACUGGCGGGCUCGAGUACGGUAGAGGGGGGUGGAAUUCCUGGUGUAGCAGUGAAAUGCGUAGAGAUCAGGAGGAACACCGAUGGCGAAGGCAGCCCCCUGGGCCUGUACUGACGCUCAUGCACGAAAGCGUGGGGAGCAAACAGGAUUAGAUACCCCAGUAGUCCCUGUCUCUUAUAC